rnacentral:rRNA from 1 species
AGUGAACGCUGGCGGCGUGCUUAACACAUGCAAGUCGAACGAGAACGGGUUAUAGCUUGCUAUAAUUGUCAGCUAAGUGGCGCACGGGUGAGUAAUGUAUAGGUAAUAUGCCUCUUACUAAGGGAUAACAAAUGGAAACGUUUGCUAAUACCUUAUACUCCUUAUUAACAGAAGUUAAUAAGGGAAAGAUUUAUUGGUAAGAGAUUAGCCUGUAUUGUAUCAGUUAGUUGGUGGGGUAAUGGCUUACCAAGACUAUGACACAUAACUGGUUUGGGAGGAUGAUCAGUCACACUGGAACUGAGACACGGUCCAGACUCCUACGGGAGGCAGCAGUGGGGAAUAUUGCACAAUGGACGAAAGUCUGAUGCAGCAACGCCGCGUGGAGGAUGACACAUUUCGGUGCGUAAACUCCUUUUAUAUGAGAAGAUAAUGACGGUAUUAUAUGAAUAAGCACCGGCUAACUCUGUGCCAGCAGCCGCGGUAAAAC